rnacentral:pre_miRNA from 1 species
AGGCUGGUUCAGGGGCAAAUUGUUGGAUAACGUGAGUCAAAUUGCACUUGUCCCGGCCUGC